rnacentral:tRNA from 1 species
GUAGCUCAGUUGGUUAGAGCGCCGCCCUGUCACGGCGGAGGCCGCGAGUUCAAGUCUCGUC